AACAGGAAGCAGCUUGCUGCUUCGCUGACGAGUGGCGGACGGGUGAGUAAUGUCUGGGAAACUGCCUGAUGGAGGGGGAUAACUACUGGAAACGGUGGCUAAUACCGCAUAACGUCUCAAGACCAAAGAGGGGGACCUUCGGGCCUCUUGCCAUCAGAUGUGCCCAGAUGGGAUUAGCUUGUUGGUGAGGUAACGGCUCACCAAGGCGACGAUCCCUAGCUGGUCUGAGAGGAUGACCAGCCACACUGGAACUGAGACACGGUCCAGACUCCUACGGGAGGCAGCAGUGGGGAAUAUUGCACAAUGGGCGCAAGCCUGAUGCAGCCAUGCCGCGUGUAUGAAGAAGGCCUU
rnacentral:rRNA from 1 species